rnacentral:rRNA from 1 species
GUGGGGAAUUUUGCGCAAUGGGCGAAAGCCUGACGCAGCGACGCCGCGUGGGGGAAGAAGGCCUUCGGGUUGUAAACUCCUUUAAUACGGGAAGAAGCCGAAAGGUGACGGUACCGUAAGAAUAAGCCACGGCUAACUCUGUGCCAGCAGCCGCGGUAAGACAGAGGUGGCAAGCGUUGUUCGGAUUUACUGGGCUUAAAGGGCGUGUAGGCGUCCUGGUAAGUCAGAUGUGGAAGCCUUGGGCUCAACCCAAGAAUUGCAUUUGAAACUAUCAGGAUUGAGUCGUGCAAGGGAGGGCGGAAUUCCUGGUGUAGCGGUGAAAUGCGUAGAUAUCAGGAGGAAGGCCGGUGGCGAAGGUGGCCCUCUGGGCAAUGACUGACGCUGAGGCGCGAAAGCGUGGGUAGCAAACAGGAUUAGAAACCCUAGUAGUCC